rnacentral:rRNA from 1 species
AAUGAACGCUGGCGGCGCGUCUAAAACAUGCAAGUCGAACGGCAGGAGGGUGCGUGCUUCUUCUUAGGGUGGGGGACUGGUGAGUGACAGGUGGGUUACAUACCAUCUACUUGUUGAUAGCGAUUAGCAAUAGUAGGCAUUCGCUAAUGCCGCCUUAGCAGUUCGUGUGUUACGAGGAAAGGAGCGAACGGUGCGCUAGAAGAAGGGCUGGCGGCCCAUUAUGCUCGUUGGUGAGGUAACGGCCCACCAAGGCGAUGAUGGGUAUCCGGCCUGAGAGGGUGAGCGGACACAUUGGGACUGAGAUACGGCCCAGACUUCUACGGGAGGCAGCAGUUAAGAAUAUUCCGCAAUGGACGCAAGUCUGACGGAGCGACGCCGCGUGGAUGAAGAAUGCCGAAAGGUUGUAAAACCCUUUUAAGGCUGAUGAAUAAGAGCAGUAGGGAAUGCCUGUGCGGUGACGGUACCCAUUGAAUAAGCACCGGCUAAUUACGUG